GUCAGGAUGGCCGAGCGGUCUAAGGCGCUCCGUUCAGGUCGCAGUCUACAAUUGUAGGCGUGGGUUCGAAUCCCACUCCUGACA
rnacentral:tRNA from 1 species